UGUGCCAAUAUUGUACCAGCUUAGAAACUGU
rnacentral:piRNA from 1 species